GCUGUUGCUGGUCCCUGGGAUAGCGUGCACGCUUGUCAUCUUUAUCACUUCUCCAAUUGUGCACAUAUUGUAGACCUGGAGCAUGUUGGAUCAUCGUUCCGAGUUGGGACUGCUGUGCUUCACACAAUGAGGUCAGCUUUGCCCUUUUGCAAUCAGGUCUAUGUCAUUUUAACCUCUUGAAUGUCGAAUAACUAUGAAAAAUGAAAUAAAUACAACUUUCAGCAACGGAUCUCUUGGCUCUCGCAUCGAUGAAGAACGCAGCGAAAUGCGAUAAGUAAUGUGAAUUGCAGAAUUCAGUGAAUCAUCGAAUCUUUGAACGCAUCUUGCGCUCCUUGGUAUUCCGAGGAGCAUGCCUGUUUGAGUGUCAUUUAAAUUCCUCAAACCACAUGGUACACUGUACUUUAUGUGGCUUUGGACGUGGGGGUUUUAUUUUUUGCAGGCCUUUCUUUUGAGGUGUGCUCCCCUGAAAUGCAUUAGUGGUAUCUGGAGCAGAGGAGACUACUAGGUGUGAUAAAUUAUCUAUGCCUUUUGGUAUGCUGCAUGAAACAGAUUGGACCGCUUCUUGAACACACAUUUAUUUUGACCAACUUGACCUCAAAUCAGGUAGGACUACCCGCUGAACUUAAGCAUAUCAAUAAGCGGAGGAAAAGAAACUAACAAGGAUUCCCCUARUAACUGCGAGUGAAGCGGGAAGAGCUCAAAUUUGAAAUCUGGCGGUUUCUUGACCGUCCGAGUUGUAAUCUAGAGAAGUGCUACCUGUGCUGGACCGUGUA
rnacentral:rRNA from 1 species